rnacentral:rRNA from 1 species
UGGCGGACGGGUGAGUAAUGUCUGGGAAACUGCCUGAUGGAGGGGGAUAACUACUGGAAACGGUAGCUAAUACCGCAUAACGUCGCAAGACCAAAGAGGGGGACCUUCGGGCCUCUUGCCAUCAGAUGUGCCCAGAUGGGAUUAGCUAGUAGGUGGGGUAACGGCUCACCUAGGCGACGAUCCCUAGCUGGUCUGAGAGGAUGACCAGCCACACUGGAACUGAGACACGGUCCAGACUCCUACGGGAGGCAGCAUG